GUUUCCGUAGGUGAACCUGCGGAAGGAUCAUUGUCGAAACCUGCCCAGCAGAACGACCCGCGAACACGUAUCAAACAUCGGGGGCCUGCGGGCCUCGUGCCCGUGCGCUCCCUCCCGCGCGCCGUGUUGGGCGUNGGACGCAUGCAGAAUCGCUUCUGCGUGCGUCCGCCCCCUCGCGGCGCGUUAACGAACCCCGGCGCGAAUCGCGUCAAGGAAAUCUGAACGAGAUAGCCCGCUCCCGUCGCCCCGGACACGGUGCGCGCGGRACGUGUGGCCUUCUUUCAUUAUCUAUAACGACUCUCGGCAACGGAUAUCUCGGCUCUCGCAUCGAUGAAGAACGUAGCGAAAUGCGAUACUUGGUGUGAAUUGCAGAAUCCCGUGAACCAUCGAGUCUUUGAACGCAAGUUGCGCCCCAAGCCAUUAGGCCGAGGGCACGUCUGCCUGGGUGUCACGCAUCGUUGCCCCCAUCCACGGAUCCAUCCUGUGGUCCCGCGGGUGUGGGCGGAGAAUGGCCUCCCGUGUGCCUGCGCACGCGGCUGGCCCAAAAAUCGAGUUCUCGGGCGACGCAUCCCGCGACAAUCGGUGGUGUUUUGAGAUAGAACCUAGUGAUCCCGUCGCGCGGGCUGCGUUGUCCCGUCCACGGACUCGUCGACCCUCGAGAGCGGGCGAAGGCCCGUUCGCAUCGCGACCCAGGUCAG
rnacentral:rRNA from 1 species